rnacentral:rRNA from 1 species
UGGGGAAUAUUGGACAAUGGGGGAAACCCUGAUCCAGCAAUGCCGCGUGAGUGAAGAAGGCCUUAGGGUUGUAAAGCUCUUUCGCCCGCGAAGAUAAUGACGGUAGCGGGAGAAGAAGCCCCGGCUAACUCCGUGCCAGCAGCCGCGGUAAUACGGAGGGGGCUAGCGUUGUUCGGAAUUACUGGGCGUAAAGCGUACGUAGGCGGAUGCGCAAGUUGGGGGUGAAAUCCCGGGGCUUAACCUCGGAAUUGCCCUCAAAACUGCACGUCUUGAGACCGAGAGAGGUAAGGGGAAUUCCUAGUGUAGAGGUGAAAUUCGUAGAUAUUAGGAAGAACACCAGUGGCGAAGGCGCCUUACUGGCUCGGUAUUGACGCUGAGGUACGAAAGCGUGGGGAGCAAACA